rnacentral:lncRNA from 1 species
ACAGGACCCUCUUUAUAUUUGGUGUCACAAAGUAUAUUGCAGGACCCUAUGAAUGUGAAAUACGGAACCCAGUGAGUGCCAGCCGCAGUGACCCAGUCACCCUGAAUCUCCUCCAUGGUCCAGACCUCCCCAGCAUUUACCCUUCAUUCACCUAUUACCGUUCAGGAGAAAACCUCUACUUGUCCUGCUUCGCCGAGUCUAACCCACGGGCACAAUAUUCUUGGACAAUUAAUGGGAAGUUUCAGCUAUCAGGACAAAAGCUCUCUAUCCCCCAAAUAACUACAAAGCAUAGUGGGCUCUAUGCUUGCUCUGUUCGUAACUCAGCCACUGGCAAGGAAAGCUCCAAAUCCAUCACAGUCAAAGUCUCUGACUGGAUAUUACCCUGAAUUCUACUAGUUCCUCCAAUUCCAUUUUCUCCCAUGGAAUCACGAAGAGCAAGACCCACUCUGUUCCAGAAGCCCUAUAAGCUGGAGGUGGACAACUCGAUGUAAAUUUCAUGGGAAAACCCUUGUACCUGACAUGUGAGCCACUCAGAACUCACCAAAAUGUUCGACACCAUAACAACAGCUACUCAAACUGUAAACCAGGAUAACAAGUUGAUGACUUCACACUGUGGACAGUUUUUCCAAAGAUGUCAGAACAAGACUCCCCAUCAUGAUAAGGCUCCCACCCCUCUUAACCGUCCUUGCUCAUGCCUGCCUCUUUCACUUGGCAGGAUAAUGCAGUCAUUAGAAUUUCACAUGUAGUAGCUUCUGAGGGUAACAACAGAGUGUCAGAUAUGUCAUCUCAACCUCAAACUUUUACGUAACAUCUCAGGGGAAAUGUGGCUCUCUCCAUCUUGCAUACAGGGCUCCCAAUAGAAAUGAACACAGAGAUAUUGCCUGUGUGUUUGCAGAGAAGAUGGUUUCUAUAAAGAGUAGGAAAGCUGAAAUUAUAGUAGAGUCUCCUUUAAAUGCACAUUGUGUGGAUGGCUCUCACCAUUUCCUAAGAGAUACAGUGUAAAACGUGACAGUAAUACUGAUUCUAGCAGAAUAAAACAUGUACCACAUUUGC